AACCUCUUAGGGUCGCACCUGGAGAGUUUCCAGUACUCUACCAGUAUCAACUACAGGAGGAAGAAUCAAGCAGAGACAUACCCUUUCCAUUCCUAGCUUGGCCAGUGGCUAGUGGGUGGAAGGCAAUCUGCUACAAGU
rnacentral:snoRNA from 1 species